UAUCCCCCCCUCGUGUGCCCUUGCCCCUCCCCCACCGACCUGCAGAACGCGAAGAACCUUACCAACCUUUGACAUGUCCAGUAUGAGCAUCAGAGAUGGAGCUCUUCAGUUCGGCUGGCUGGAACACAGGUGCUGCAUGGCUGUCGUCAGCUCGUGUCGUGAGAUGUUGGGUUAAGUCCCGCAACGAGCGCAACCCUCGCCCUUAGUUGCCAUCAUUUAGUUGGGCACUCUAGGGGGACUGCCGGUGAUAAGCCGCGAGGAAGGUGGGGAUGACGUCAAGUCCUCAUGGCCCUUACAGGUUGGGCUACACACGUGCUACAAUGGCGGUGACAAUGGGAAGCAAUGGAGCAAUCCUGCGCAAAUCUCAAAAAGCCGUCUCAGUUCGGAUUGGGGUCUGCAACUCGACCCCAUGAAGUCGGAAUCGCUAGUAAUCGUGGAUCAGCAUGCCACGGUGAAUACGUUCCCGGGUCUUGUACACACCG
rnacentral:rRNA from 1 species